GUCCCGUUGGUCAAGUGGUCAAGAUGUCGCCCUCUCACGGCGGAGUCAGGGGUUCGACUCCCCUACGGGAUACCA
rnacentral:tRNA from 1 species